GCGGGUGUGGCGGAAUUGGCAGACGCACUAGACUUAGGAUCUAGCGCCUUUGGGCGUGGGGGUUCAAAUCCCUUCACCCGCA
rnacentral:tRNA from 1 species